ensembl:lncRNA
CUGAAGGUUAAAGAAUGACAGUGCUUAGCAGUCUGCUCUGAAAAAUACUGUAAUCUUUGAUCCAGCAUUCAGCAUUCAGCUAUAGUGUUGAAGCCAAUGUGAGGACCCCUGUAUAUGCUGAGCUCUACGGAAAAUUAAGCAAAAUAGAGAGGUACAGCAUUUAGAAAUGCUAGCAGUGGGGUAAAGAAAAGAUCAUGGGAUUUGGGAUUGCACAGAGUCCAGUGGUGCACUGAUUUUGCUGAUUAAACUGAUAAAUAAUGAACUCAAAAUGUUUUAGGCAGCUGUUAGUGUCAGAGAUCAGAUUAAUCUUCAGCAUGAAAGAGAGAAGAUAUUCAAGUUUACAGCACUCCGGAGCAGGAUUUGAAUAAAAUAGACGAAAGGCUUUUGACUUCAAUGAAUUAUAGAAGUGGACAGAGACAUUUUUUAUGUGUGACCCACUGCUGAUGGAAGUUAAAGUGAUAUCCCUGUAGAAGACAUGAAAAACUCUUCUCUAUGGCUCCUGGAUGCUUACAUAACGUUCAAUUAUGCAUAAUAUCAACACUCGUGUUUCAAGACUUUUGGGAAGACUAAUAACAAGGAAAAGAGGGGGAAGAGGGCAGGGAGGGAAGAAAGAAGAGAUUUCCCAUAGAAAUAAAUUGAUUGCAUUGUACUGAGCAUUGGAGGUGGAUCCUACACAUGAUCCUUUUCCCAGCUCCUCUGAUGGCUCCAUGUGCAUUUUUCAGAUUGCCAUUUGACUUUUUUUUGUCUUUUAUUAUCCUGACUGUAAAAGAGUAAAGGAAUUACUUGUUCAUACAAGCCGGAUGAUAGUUAUCUAAGUUUUAGUCACAUGAACAGAAUUACACUAUUUUAUUAUCAGUUGAUUGAGCUUUCAAAGCUGAGUAGUAGUUUCAGUGGUGUUAUUCAAAGUAUUUUAUAAUAACAGUCUAUAAUAAUCUAUUAGACAAGUAUUAGUCACAUGUAAGCACUAUUUCGGAAUUUUCAUUUACUUUGUACCUUAUUAAGAAUGAAUCAAUAUCUUUUUGGGGCUGCUUUGUCUGUUCACCUGUUGAGUAAAAUCAAAUAUCACUUGUGUAAAUAAGACUUCAAAGCAGAUUUUCAGGUAAAAGAAACUGCUUUUAGGAAUCAUGAGCAAUUUAACCAAGAACUCUGAAGCAUGAGAAUAUUACAAGAAGAUACCGAAAACAGAAAUAUAAGUGCAAUUCACAUAUACUGUAAUUAUGGAGCUUUUUUGCUGUGUUUGUUUUGAAUCAUGUGGAUGAGAGAUGAAUAGGAAUUUUGCCACUUUCUAUCUGUUUAAAUCUUGCCCAAAUCAGUGCCUGGGAUCUUGAAGCUCACUUGCUUGUAGAAAAUUAGAACAAUUAUUCAGAAAAUUAAAGUUGAACUUUGAAUGAGGAAAACUUCAACACAGAGAUGAAGUAUGACAUUAUUAAGCUUACUAGUGAAAUUCAUUGAAAUACUCUUCAACAGAUUUGGGGAUUUUUUGUUUGUUUUUGUUUUUUGUUUUUACUUCUUUACAUUAUAUAAAAAUAAAUUUGUUUAACACUCAGCCUUUUCUAAUUCCAGUCUUUUAAUGUUAGUCAGGUUAGGAGGAUAACGUAUAAUAUUCUGUACUUCUACUGUCCAUAUUGUACUUUAAGAAGCUUAACAUUUGUUUCCUAUAAGCACCUUUUCCAUGUUAAUUUUCAGUUUCAAAUUCACUAAUGAAAAUGCACAAAUUUAUAUAAUUUCUGACUCAGAAAUGUCUAUAUUCUCCUUUAUACUCACUAACGUUAAUAACUAUGAGACAUGCAUGCAUGAGAAAAAGAAAAAAAAGAAGGCUGGAAGGCACUUUUUCUAUUAGAUAUCACUGUGACACAUGAAACAGAUGAAAAGUUGAAUUGAUUAGAGGAUACAUAAAUGUUUUUAAAUAUGAUUUUGUAAAUAAAGUAGUAUUUUAAUUUUGUAAAAAUUAUCAUUGAACUCCUAUUGAACUUUUAUCUGAAUAGUUCUAUACCUCUUUGAAAAUCUCUUUGAAACUUUGUGUGGUGCAUCUCAGAUCUAAAAUUCUACCUUCCUUUCAUGACUAUCUGUACAUCAAAGGGAAGGAGAAAUGGUAUCAUCAUUUUAUUCUGCUACUAUGAAGGACAAAAAUUUGUCUGAUGGUAGAACAGUAGGAAGAAAAGUGACAGUGACACCUCAGGUUGAAAAAGGGAAAGCUACAAGAAAGUGUAUUCAUGGUUUCAGCUUUGACUCCACUGUGACAUAAUUGCCAUGAAUAUCUUUCAUAACAUACACUAGAGAAAAGGUAUUAAAGCGGUAUACAAAGACCUGUGUAGAAAUGGAAUUUGCAGAUUCUCUUAACUUCAUCAAACAAAAUCAAUUUCCAUGGGACAUUUCAAAGGCACUUCUCAAUGAAGGUCAACUUUCUGCUUUCUUUUCUGUUUUGGCACAUAAUUCAUUUAAAACCUGGAAUGAGAAGAAAGCAAAACUCAAUAGCAUGUACUUACAGGAUUUCAUCUUCUAUAACUAUAAGUAAUUUUAAGCAAGAAAUACAGAAGCUGAGAUCAUUGUUAGAAAACACUAAAAAUAAAGAAAUUAAUAAAGUAAAAGAAAAAAUAGAAAGGCUUUGGAAUUCUGUGUCUGUCAGAUGAGUUCUAUGAAUGGAACUUGAAAAAUACAUAGAGUAUUUAUAUGAUGUAGUGAUAUUCAGUAUAUUUUUACUCUUUUUUUUUUUUUUUUUAAAUAUGAUGUCUACCUUUCCUGACCCAAAAGGUGGUGGGAUUUAAAAUUUUGGUAAAAUUACUGAAGUUCUAAUAAAAAAUUACUCAACUCUGCUCAUGUUUAAUUUCAGACUUGCAAUAUCUUUGCUGUUUACACAAUUUUUACUCUUGCCAACAUGAAGUCAAUACGAUCUUGUUAAAGUGGCGUGUCAAUGGUUUGUGGGCUGGUUUGGCCUGGUUCCAUGACUAGCGGGGUGGAGGGACCUGCGGAUCCACGCCCCGGAAAGGACUUAGGUAAAAAAGGGAAAAAAGGGUAGAGAGAUGGGCCUAAAAAAAAAAAAAAAAAGCAAAACAGUGGCAAUGAUGAGAAACUGAUGAGAAACAAACUAUUUUACUAAGUCAGAUAUCAGAAUGCAAGAUAACACUCUAUAAUACAAUAUAAUUAGAAUUGGAACUAAUAAAUCAAAUAUAAUGAGAGAGAGUGUCCAAAAGCCGAAGACCUUACUACAUUGCUGUGACAAGAUGGCACCCGCGACAGAGAUGGUUGGGAAAAAAAAGGAUGUCAGGUGACCUACCAAGGCCUUUUAUCUGUUCCCCCUGAGCAGAAAUGAUAACAUAACAGUGAACACUCCUCCGAGGAAUGUAGUAGUUCUUCUCUUCCGGGACAGGUACCUGGACCUGGAGCAUUAACUCUUUAAUUCCCGGUGCACUACAUGAUGCUAUAAUGUGGAAUACUGAUAACCAAAAAUCUUAAAACCAUGACAUGGCAAUAAGCUGAAAAAUAAUACCAACUGUAUUAAUGGAAACACUACAACUUAUUUUUCUUUUCAAGGCUUGUUUUCAAAAUUUUAGAAUUCUUUACAUGGAUUUGUAUUUGCUUGUGUUGGACAUGGUGUGAUGGGACUUCAGCAUUUAUCACCAGCUACUGAUAAGCAUGUUCUGAAUUUUGGCAAAUUCCUCUAAACCUAGAUACUUUGGCAUUUUGCAUCAAUUGUAUUCUUCAUUUUGAAAGGUAUCUGUGAUAGUCAUGCAACUGUUACUCAGUUUGCUUACCCCACACGGAUUGUAUAGCUAAUAUUCAAACAACUUCUUAACUUGCAUUUGACUUGCAUGGUAUGUAAGAGCAUCUUUUUUGAGCAGAUUGGCUUGUAUUUGUAGGUAGCACUUUGACACAAUAUUUUUGAAU